GACGAACGCUGGCGGCGUGCCUAAUACAUGCAAGUCGAGCGCAGGAAGACGUUCUGAACCCUUCGGGGGGACGACGGUGGAAUGAGCGGCGGACGGGUGAGUAACACGUAAAGAACCUGCCCAUAGGUCUGGGAUAACCACGAGAAAUCGGGGCUAAUACCGGAUGUGUCAUCGGACCGCAUGGUCCGCUGAUGAAAGGCGCUCCGGCGUCGCCCAUGGAUGGCUUUGCGGUGCAUUAGCUAGUUGGUGGGGUAACGGCCCACCAAGGCGACGAUGCAUAGCCGACCUGAGAGGGUGAUCGGCCACACUGGGACGGAGACACGGCCCAGACUCCUACGGGAGGCAGCAGUAGGGAAUCUUCCACAAUGGACGAAAGUCUGAUGGAGCAACGCCGCGUGAACGAUGAAGGCUUUCGGGUCGUAAAGUUCUGUUGUAAGGGAAGAACAAGUGCCGCAGGCAAUGGCGGCACCUUGACGGUACCUUGCGAGAAAGCCACGGCUAACUACGUGCCAGCCGCCGCGGUAAUAC
rnacentral:rRNA from 1 species